rnacentral:rRNA from 1 species
GAUGAACGCUAGCUACAGGCUUAACACAUGCAAGUCGAGGGGUAACGAGAGGAAAGCUUGCUUUCCUUGUCGACGACCGGCGCACGGGUGAGUAACGCGUAUCCAACCUGCCCCCAACUAGGGAAUAACCUUGCGAAAGUAAGACUAAUACCCUAUAAUUUCCUCAGAUCUCAUCUGACGAGGACUAAAGAUUUAUCGGUUGUGGAUGGGGAUGCGUCUGAUUAGCUUGUUGGCGGGGUAACGGCCCACCAAGGCAACGAUCAGUAGGGGUUCUGAGAGGAGGGCCCCCACAUUGGAACUGAGACACGGUCCAAACUCCUACGGGAGGCAGCAGUGAGGAAUAUUGGCCAAUGGGCGGAAGCCUGAACCAGCCAAGUAGCGUGCAGGAUGACGGCCCUAUGGGUUGUAAACUGCUUUUAUACAGGAAUAAAGUUAGCCACGUGUGGUUAUUUGUAGGUACUGUAUGAAUAAGGACCGGCUAAUUCCGUGCCAGCCGCCGCAGUAA